rnacentral:snRNA from 1 species
AUUGCUUCUCAGCUUUUUGGCUAAGAUCAAGUGUAGUGUCUGUUCUUAUCAGUUCAAAAAUAUGUUGAGGCAUUUUCUCUAACUUAAUUUUACUAAAUUUCUUUCAAAGCAAUUUCA